rnacentral:rRNA from 1 species
UACAGAGGUGGCAAGCGUUGUGCGGAAUUACUGGGCGUAAAGGGCGCGUAGGCGGCCUACUAAGUCAGACGUGAAAUCCCCCGGCUUAACCUGGGAACUGCGUCUGAUACUGGAAGGCUUGAGGAUGGGAGAGGGAUGUAGAAUUCCAGGUGUAGCGGUGAAAUGCGUAGAUAUCUGGAGGAAUACCGGUGGCGAAGGCGGCAUCCUGGACCAUUACUGACGCUGAGGCGCGAAAGCUAGGGGAGCAAACGGG